GUACAUGGGGAAGCUUUUAGAUUAAGUCUAAUAUAGUUGUAAUGUAGGCAAAAUACUUCAAUUUAGAGAACUAGUCAGGAAAAUUCCAGAAUCUGGUCUGCAGUAGUUGCCAGUCCCCAGGGCCGCCACAAUUGCAGGACAGAAGAAUAUUGAUUUCACAGGAAGUAGGAGAUGGCUACUCCUGCAGGAAGGAAGGGGCCCCGACCCUGCUGGCUAUGAAAACAGGAAACCAUCCAGGAAAAGUUCAGAGUAACGAAGGGUCCUCUGGCGUGCCUUGGAACAAGAUGAAGCAGACCCCGUGACUGAAGAACAGGCGAAGCUGGGCUGAUCUUGGGAAGAAACGGACCUCGGAUACUCUAGGCAAGUGCCUUAGCUUUAAUACCCUGGCCUGAGGAAAGAUGAUUUUCUCCCUAGAAUUUAUUACCCAGACAUGAACAGGUGCAAGAAGGGCCUGACAAUGUGUUGACCAACUGACACCAAAAGACUUCUGACUCCUGAGCCCUUAGUUCCAGUCUGCUGAGUCACCACUAAUGUUUGCCUGCACGUGCACCAGGAGUGUUCCUGGGGUCUAAGGAAGCUGAAAGAAGGCAUUGAAUCCUCCGGAACUGUAGUUACAGGUGUUUCUAAGACACCAUAUUACUGCUGGGAAUGGACCUGAGUCCUCUGCAAGACCAGCAAAUGCCCUCCCUUAACUGCUGGACCACCUCACCAACUCUGAAAAGUUUUCUUCAAAAUGCGGCUUAAGUGAAGAGGGAACCAGCACAGGGCGAAGAUGACAACCAAGCAGAAGACAGUCUUUGCCACUUCUCGACGCUAAGGGCAAGUUCAUGCAAACAAGGAUAAAGUUUUCAAAGAUCUGCUGUUUGCAAACAGAGGAUAAGGGGAGGAGUUUUCAGCAGUGCUGGUUAGAGGCACUUGGCAUGUUGACGAACGAGUGACUCCAACUGAAGCCUUACCAGCCUCCGAGACGACUCGUGGACUGACCAGCCAGAGUUUAGGAACUAUCUGGACCUCUUCAUUUGGGUUCAGACUGCUGAGGACACCGUCUUUGGGGCUGGCGAUGACCCAGUGGUUAAGAACGUUUGUGGCUCUUGCAGAAGACCUAGGUUCCAUUCUCAGCACCCAUGUUGGACAGCUCAUGACCUGUUAACUCCAGUUAUAGGGGAUCAGAUGCCCUCUUCCAGCCUCUGUGGCACCUGCACACACACGUGUAAAAUAAAAUAAUUCUUUAAAAAAA